rnacentral:rRNA from 1 species
CAUGUCUUUUUGUUAAUAAUUUAAAGUCUGACCUGCCCUCUGAUUUAGAUUGAAUGGCCGCGAUAUUUUGAUCGUGCAAAGGUAGCAUAAUAAUUAGUUUCUUAAUUAGGAACUGGAAUGAAAGGUUGAACGAGAAAAAAACUGUCUCAAUUUAAUUUUUAUUAGAAUUUUAUUUUUAAGUAAAAAAGCUUAAAUAAUUUUAAAAGACGAGAAGACCCUAUAGAGUUUUAUAUUUAAUUUAAUUUAUUUUUUAGUUUAAGAAUUUAAUUUUAAAAUUUAUUAUAAAAUAUUUAGUUGGGGUGAUUGAAAAAUUUAAUAAACUUUUUUUAAAGAAUUUAUCAUUGAUAUAUGAUUUAGUUGAUCCAUAUUUUAUGAUUAAAAGAUUAAAUUACCUUAGGGAUAACAGCGUAAUUUUUUUUGAGAGUUCUUAUCGAAAAAAAAGUUUGCGACC